rnacentral:tRNA from 1 species
GGGAGAUAGCUCAGUGGUAAGAGCACUGGCUGCUCUUCCAGAGGAUCUGGUUUCAAUUCCCAGCACCCA